rnacentral:piRNA from 1 species
UGCCCAGUCCUUGUUUAACAAAGGCUCU